rnacentral:rRNA from 1 species
UACGUAGGGCGCAGGCGUUGUCCGGAAUUAUUGGGCGUAAAGAGCUCGUAGGCGGCUUGUCACGUCGGGUGUGAAAGCCCGGGGCUUAACCCCGGGUCUGCAUUCGAUACGGGCUGGCUAGAGUGUGGUAGGGGAGAUCGGAAUUCCUGGUGUAGCGGUGAAAUGCGCAGAUAUCAGGAGGAACACCGGUGGCGAAGGCGGAUCUCUGGGCCAUUACUGACGCUGAGGAGCGAAAGCGUGGGGAGCGAACAGG